rnacentral:rRNA from 1 species
GACGAACGCUGGCGGCGUGCUUAACACAUGCAAGUCGAACGGAAAGGCCCUGCUUUUGUGGGGUGCUCGAGUGGCGAACGGGUGAGUAACACGUGAGUAACCUGCCCUUGACUUUGGGGUAACUUCAGGAAACUGGGGCUAAUACCGGAUAGGAGCUCCUGCUGCAUGGUGGAGGUUGGAAAGUUUCGGCGGUUGGGGAUGGACUCGCGGCUUAUCGGCUUGUUGGUGGGGUAGUGGCUUACCAAGGCUUUGACGGGUAGCCGGCCUGAGAGGGUGACCGGCCACAUUGGGACUAAGAUACGGCCCAGACUCCUACGGGAGGCAGCAGUGGGGAAUAUUGCACAAUGGGCGGAAGCCUGAUGCAGCAACGCCGCGUGCGGGAUGACGUCCUUCGGGUUGUAAACCGCUUUCGCCUGUGACGAAGCGUGAGUGACGGUAAUGGGUAAAGAAGCACCGGCUAACUACGUG